UUAUCAUCCCCACCGACGCUGGUUGUCGAGGGCGUCAAUAGCUCACCAAAUUGGCGAAUCGUGGCUUACGAAAUCGGGGAUAAAUUCAACAGAUCUUCGAGUUUCGAUUCGAAAUCGGUGACAAUCGGUUUGUAAAGUUAUCUUAUCCAGGAUCAUGUAUCUGGUAGCACCAUCCACACGGUCAUCGCACUCUCGGCCCAGACUAUCAAUACGUUUAACAUCUAGGACACGGAAAAUGGCGAAAGCAUACAAUGGACAAGAUGUUAAUGGCACUGCUUGAUUUCUCUGCAUUUUUGACAUGGCACUGCUUGAUUUUUCUGCAUUCUUGUUUUAUUAUUGAUGUUGUCUUUCUCUGUCCAAGGAACUGGCUUGUGAGACUGAGUGCAGCCGCGGUGAGGAUUAUCGGUUAAACAAACUCACUAUCAUAGACUACAAUGUAUGAAUUUCUCACUUACUUUGGUAACUUUUAACACUUAAUUUCCAAACCCAUGAUAUUGAAUGUGUGUAUGGAUGCUUAGCAAUAGGUCAUUGUAUGAAUGCUUGUAUGAGUUUGGUUGUAUAAAUGCUUGUAAUGGAA